GUCUCACUCGUACACCCACUCACCCUCUCUCUCUCUCCAACUUUACCCUCUCAACAGCCAUCUGCAACCCCAUCUCUCUCUCUCCUUCAAAAUCCAACACCCACUCUCUCUCUCUCUCUCUCUCUCUCUCUCCACCCCCGGAGCCACCACACCCACGACGGAAUAGCACCAACGUAGCCGCACCACCAAUGUCUCCUCCUCUAGCCCACAGACACCCACCCCCACCCCAAACGACGCCAAUGCCCAUGAAACCGGUGCCUGUCCGACCUCCACCAUUGCCGCCAUCCAACCGACUCCUUCUUGAAACCGGGUUCAGAGAGCUCACCUUUGUGGACAUAAGAUAGAUCUGCUGAGAGUCCUGCUGGCCCUUCGACCGGAGUGGUCGUACGUGACCCCGUUCGAGCGACGAUGGGCCGAACCCGGCUGUGCCGAUCGCGUACAAGGAGGAGUUCCCAGAGACGGUGGAUUACUUCCGAGCUGUUUCGUUGGAGACGAUGGCUUCUGGUUAUAACAGCUGGCCAUUAUCCGUUUACUCCACUGAUGCAGAAGCUGGUUACAAGCAUUUAUUGGUGUAUUGCAAGCGCAAGCCCAUGCACAAUCUAAGUAAUGCAGCUCUGCUUUGUGAGAUCUUGAAGAGAAUGGUGGAGUACAUGAAAUGACAGCUACAGGUCUGCCAGAAUUAAG